rnacentral:rRNA from 1 species
UACGAAGGGUGCAAGCGUUAAUCGGAAUUACUGGGCGUAAAGGGUGUGUAGGCGGUUAUUUAAGUCUGCCGUGAAAUCCCCGGGCUCAACCUGGGACUGGCGGUGGAUACUGGAUAGCUAGAGUGUGUCAGAGGAUGGUGGAAUUCCCGGUGUAGCGGUGAAAUGCGUAGAGAUCGGGAGGAACAUCAGUGGCGAAGGCGGCCAUCUGGGACAACACUGACGCUGAAACACGAAAGCGUGGGGAGCAAACAGG